rnacentral:rRNA from 1 species
CUACGGGGUGCAGCAGUGAGGAAUAUUGCACAAUGGGGGGAACCCUGAUGCAGCAACGCCGCGUGGAGGAUGACGCAUUUCGGUGUGUAAACUCCUUUUAUAUGUCAAGAAAAUGACGGUAGCAUAUGAAUAAGCACCGGCUAACUCCGUGCCAGCAGCCGCGGUAAUACGGAGGGUGCAAGCGUUACUCGGAAUCACUGGGCGUAAAGGACGCGUAGGCGGGUUGGAAAGUCAGGUGUGAAAUCCUACAGCUUAACUGUAGAACUGCACUUGAAACUUCUAAUCUAGAGUAUGGGAGGGGGAGAUGGAAUUAGUGGUGUAGGGGUGAAAUCAGUAGAUGUCACUAGGAAUACCUAAAGCGAAGGCGAUCUCCUGGAACAUUACUGACGCUAAGGCGUGAAAGCGUGGGGAGCAAACAGGAUUAGAUACCCUCGUAGUC